rnacentral:tRNA from 1 species
AGGGGAUUAGUUCAGGGGUAGAACGUUGGUCUCCAAAACCAAAUGCCAGGGGUUCAAAUCCUCUAUCCCCUGCCA